UGCAAGAAAUUCUUCGCGACGAGAGAAGGAAAAGGCGAGAGGCCCUAAGAAGAAACUUCCGCUUGCACACAAUUCCCGACUCUGAAUUCGUAAAUAACUACCGUCUGAGUUCCAAACGCUGUGUGAAGAGAUUGUCCCGUUUCUUCCUCCAAGGAUACGACACCGGGGUAUUGAUCCCAUAAUGAAGGUAAAACUCAACAAGUAUCUUAUUUUCAUAUUACCUUUAACCAUAAAAAUCAGACGAUAAAUAACGUAAAUAUCAGACAAUGAUAAAACAUAACUGACUAACAUAAUUUCCGGAUUUAUUUCAGAUUUUGGUAGUAUUAAACUUCUAUGCAAGGGGCAGUUAUCAAGGUGCCGUAGGCCUCAACAGCGAUGUGACUCUGAUUGCCUUAUAUUGAGUAUUGAUGCAUCAUACACAUCAUCAUACAUUGGGCAUAUGGGCCCAACAUGAGAUAAAAGCUCACAUGGAAGAACUCUCAAUACAGGGAUAGACUACAUACCUACUGGGUGACUCAGGGUAUCCUCUCCGGUCAUUCAUGAUGACUCCAGUGGACCAUGCAGUAGACGACUCACCUGAAGGGCGCUACAAUAUAAUUCAGAAACGUGCCCGUUCCACUGUAGAGCGCACAUUUGGAAUACUAAAAGGGAGAUGGAGAUGCUUAUUAGCCACCAGAGAAUUAAAUUACACUCCUGAGACCGCUGGCAAAAUUGCAAUUGCAUGCAGUAUAUUGCACAACAUGUGCAUACAUGCUCGGCUCGACCAUCCUGAAUUAACAGAGGAGGACCUCGCAGCUGAGAACGCCCUGCCCAUUCCCCAGCAAGCUGCAAUUCCACAAGGACGGGCAUUGGAGGAAGGAAGAAGAGUACACAGAGUACUAAUACAUUUAUUAGAGGCAUAAUAUGCCCCCGGCUUUGUACGGAUAUACUUAUAUAAGACAAAACAAUCCUUAUUGUGAGGUUGUAGAAGAGAUUACUUUUAGUAAUACGGCCACUGAUUGUACUAUUUCUUUUCUAUGUUUGUGAAACUGUUUCUGUUUGUGUGCAAUAAAGAGUAUUUUAUCUUUACCUACCUAUAUUUUUUUAAUUUUCAUUGUUUCUGGUAUGAAUGUGUUUCUAUUAUAUCCAUAAAAAUAUGGUUUUACCGAUCCUAAGAUACUUACUUUGUGUGGAUACAUCUAUUCAUGCUAACACACUUAUUUAUAAAGAAUAAAACAAUUUUUCUAAAUGAGAGAUUUUUAUUUUUUGGUUUCAGUCAAAUAUUGCUACUUAUUGCUUAAACACUGAUAAAAUGCACUGUUUUCGCGCAGCCCCCCAAAGCAUUCAGCUUUUGGGCGAUUUCCUGCCACAGGCGAUUGCUUCGCACUCUCCCAUCUACGCUCCUCAUACGACCGCGCGCGAGGUCUUGGUGCUCAAAUAAGAACUCCAAGAGCUCUUGAGUCGUUGGAUCUCUUCUGCGCCCGUUAGGGCGCAGGCUUCGAGUCUUGAGGAGUCCCUCUUUACCCGGGCUUCUGCUCCAGGGCCUACUAGCUCCUGGGUCCGUGGGGCCGCCUGUUCAGUCAGGCGGCGUCUGGUUGGUGUUCAACGUCUCAGUGAGCCGCCGCAUCGACUGGUUGCCGACGACAGCAGCUCACGAGGGAAAAGAGCUCUUGAAUCUGCUCCGUACUGCAGUUCCCAGACCCAGCCAUGGUAGAAAGAAAUUAACUUUGGCGCGUUCAACUUCAACUUAACUUUAUUUUGUGUUUGAUUUUUUUAUGAGCCUCUUUGACAGAAAAUCACAGACUACCAUAGUGAAAAAAGUAGAGUAAAAAUAUUUUGAUUUUAUCAAAAAUUUGUAAUUUAAACGUCUCUGCGUGAAAAAUCAUUUAAAUAAAUCAGUUUAAUGUACAAAAAACAAACAGCGCAUUUAAAUUUUACGUAGAAAUGAUAAUAUGCAAUGUUUUAAUAAAACCGGUAAUUUACCGAUAAGCCACUUGAAAGCCCAACCAAUACAUUCAUUCAUUACACUAUUUCGUUCAUUCACGUAGUACCUCUAUGAUUUGUCUAUGAUUUUCGAAGAACGUAGCGCGGCCGAAGUUGGUACAGAGUACCGAUAUGCCGUCAUUAACUUACGGUUUUCGAUUU